rnacentral:lncRNA from 1 species
CUUUCCUCCUUAUGCAACUCAACCUCAUCACUCGUAGCUCUCAAAUCAAGAUUAAGGGUAAUGUCGGUCCCUACAAAAUGAACUAGAGCCUCAUUAAACCAAAAUCUUCUUUCUUAUUAUCCUAGAAGGAGAUCAGUGCAUCCACUAAUGACCUACUUUGUUUCAUGUAUGGAAAUUGGAGCAAAUGACCAAAUCGAGUACCAGCCAUUUUUACCUUCUACUCUUUGGACAUGGACUCUAUAAGUCUAUUAAUAGCCUCAAUGUAAUGGCUAAAUAGCACUUUCCAUUGGUCAUUUGUCGAACUAAUGCAAAAUGCUUUACCUCCUUAAAUCGGACACCUUAACACUACAUCACAAAU